AUGGAGGCUAGUGCGAGUGCCGGUACUCGUACAACGCGGUUUAUGAUGGAGGGUGUCGGUGCCAGAGUUAUUCGUGGUCCCGAGUGGAAAUGGGGAAAACAGGAUGGUGGCGAGGGCCAUGUAGGAACUGUUCGCAACUUUGAAUCUCCCGAAGAGGUCGUCGUUGUCUGGGAUAAUGGAACAGCAGCUAAUUACCGCUGUUCUGGAGCUUUUGAUCUACGCAUCUUAGAUUCCGCGCCUACUGGGGUAAAGCACGAUGGCACGAUGUGCGAUACAUGCCGUCAACAGCCAAUUUUUGGUAUAAGAUGGAAGUGCGCAGAGUGUGGCAAUUAUGAUUUAUGCUCUAUUUGUUAUCAUGGAGACAAACAUCAUCUGAGACACAGGUUUUAUCGCAUUGCUACUCCUGGCAGUGAAAGGGUCCUCCUUGAGCCAAGACGAAAAAGCAAGAAAAUUGCAAUUCGUGGGAUAUUUCCUGGUGCCAGGGUUGUGAGGGGUGUUGAUUGGCAGUGGGAAGAUCAAGAUGGAGGUAAUGGGCGUAGAGGAAAGGUUGCAGAAAUGCAGGAUUGGUCAGCAGCAAGUCCUAGAUCAGCUGCCUAUGUUGUAUGGGACAACGGAGCGAAAAAUCUAUAUCGUGUUGGAUUUGAGGGAAUGGCUGAUUUAAAAGUCGUGAAUGAUGCCAAGGGACAAACCGUCUAUAGGGAUCAUCUUCCACUUCUUGGUGAACAGGCUCCUGGACGGACAGGACCUCAUGGACUACAGAUUGGAGAUCAGGUAAACGUCGAUCUAGAGUUGGAAAUAGUUCAAUCCUUGCAACAUGGCCAUGGUGGCUGGACAGAUGGAAUGUUUGAGUGCCUCGGUACAACUGGCACAGUUGUGGGAAUAGACGAAGAUCACGAUAUUGUUGUCUCUUAUCCAAGUGGAAACAGGUGGACUUUUAACCCUGCGGUUUUAACCAAAGUACAAAUACCUGUCCCUGUGUCGAGUUCCAGUACAGAUAACCAGACCUUUGCAGUUGGCGAUUUAGUUCAGAUCUCUAAUGACUUAGAAAAAAUUAAGCUGCUACAAAGUGGGCAUGGAGAAUGGGCAGAGGCUAUGGUCCCGACUUUGGGUAAGGUUGGACGUGUUCAACAAAUAUAUCACGAUGGUGAUUUAAAGGUCGACGUUUGUAGUACUUCCUGGACUUAUAAUCCGCAAGCUGUUACCAAAGUAGCCAGCAGCGAUGGGUGUGUACCAGGAAAUACAAGCGGAGAACGUUUAUCAGCUCUCUUAAAAAAAUUAUUCGAAUCUCAUGUAUCUGGUGACGUUAACGAGGAGUUAGUAAAGACUGCAGCGAAUGGGGAUGCUGCUAAAUGUGAAGAUAGUUUGAAGCGACCAGAAGCAGACGUGAAUGGUGUUUUCGCCGGACACACCGCACUUCAGGCCGCUAGUCAAAACGGACAUCUUGAAGUCAUAAAGAUCCUUCUCCGGUACAAAGCCGACGUAGAGAUUGAGGACAAAGAUGGAGACAGAGCAGUUCACCACGCGGCAUUUGGUGAUGAGCCGGGAGUGAUGGCUUUGCUGGCUGGUGCUGGAGCAGAUCUCAAUGCCAGGAAUAAACGUCGACAAACUGCACUUCAUAUUGCUGUGAACAAGGGCCACGCAGGAGUUGUACGAACGUUAUUAGAACUAGGCUGCCAUCCGAGUCUCCAGGAUUCUGAGGGGGAUACGCCACUUCACGACGCCAUAUCCAAGAAACGCGACGACAUGUUGGCUCUCCUGUUGGAUCACGCUGCCGACAUAACACUUACAAAUAACAACGGAUUCAACGCGCUUCAUCACGCGGCUCUGCGAGGAAAUCCUAGUGCGAUGCGAGUUUUGCUCUCAAAACUGCCACGACCGUGGAUAGUGGAUGAAAAAAAAGACGAUGGUUACACAGCCCUUCACCUGGCCGCUUUGAACAACCACGUGGAAGUUGCAGAACAAUUAGCUCAGGCUGGUAAAGCUGACCUGGAUCUGCAGAAUGUGAAUUUGCAGACCGCUUUACAUUUAGCAGUUGAAAGGCAACACACGCAAAUCGUUAGGCUUUUGGUACGCGAAGGUGCGAAUUUAAAUGUCGCUGAUAAAGACGGCGAUACCCCACUCCACGAGGCGCUUAGACAUCACACCUUAUCUCAGCUGAGACAACUACAGGAUGUUCAGGACGUUGGUCGACUUCUGAUGGGUCUCGGGGCCCAGGGUCAGGAUAAAAAGAGCAGCGCUUCUAUAGCAUGUUUUCUAGCUGCUCACGGGGCCGAUCUUACUUUGAAAAACAAAAAGGGACAAACACCUCUCGAUCUAUGCCCGGAUCCAAACCUUUGCAAAACGCUUACCAAAUGUCAUAAAGAUAAGGAAUCACACGACAUCGAAGCCACUGUACCAUCAGCAGCGAUCGACGAAUGUCUCGUUUGUUCGGAUGGCAAAAGAGAAACACUUUUCAAUCCCUGUGGUCAUGUGGCCUGUUGCAAUGUCUGUGCACCUAGAGUUAAAAAGUGUCUUAUAUGCCGGGAAAACGUUCUAGCGAGAGUUAAGAUCGAAGAAUGCGUCGUUUGCUCGGAUCGUAAGGCUGGAGUUUUGUUUCGUCCAUGCGGUCACAUGUGUGCUUGCGAAAGUUGUGCUUCUUUGAUGAAAAAAUGCGUACAAUGCAGGGCGCAAAUUCAGCACAUGGUACCGCUUUCCAUUUGCUGUGGAGGAGGAGGAACGAUAUCCGAAGUCAAAGCUGACCCGGAAGAGGAACCAGCUCCGCUAAUUUCCAAUAACGAAGGUGAAGCUGUUCUUAUGAACAACGGAAGUCGCGACACGUCGCACAGCGAUAUACAAAAAUUACAACAACAAUUGCAGGACAUCAAAGAACAGACUAUGUGUCCGGUCUGUCUGGACCGUUUGAAAAAUAUGAUCUUCCUUUGCGGACACGGAACCUGCCAAAUGUGUGGAGACAGAAUGUCCGAGUGUCCAAUUUGCCGGAAGGCCGUCGACAAAAGAAUUUUGCUUUACUAGAAAUCAGCAAUUAAUGGACCCGUAUGAUGAGUAAUUGAAAAGUCUGUGGAAAAAAAGUAAACGCGUAGAAUUCAUCGAGUUUAUUAACUUUUUUUUCUUUUAUCGCAUAAACAGAAUAUAUUCAGCGAUGUUUUCCAUACAUAUAUAAAUAUACACAUUAUAUAUCUAUAGAUUAACAUAUUAUAGGUAGACAUUUGAUAAAAUGAAAAAUGGGGGAUCCGACUAAUGAUUCAUCAUUUCUUCCAUCUCGUUAAAAGGGUCUGCUUGAGUUCAUUUGGUUAUAUAAAUAUAUAUAUAUAUAUAUACAUAAUAUUAUAUAUAUGUAUAUGAUUAUUAGAAACAAUAAUACGUAUAAUUAUCGCAGAUUAUUACUCUGUGUGAUUAAAGGUUACAUUUAGGUAUUCAAUUGUUAUAUGUAUACAGUAUUUACUUAAGAAUUUAGACAGGCUGCAUUUUAUUUGUUAAAAUGCAUUUAUUUGAAAAAACUUUACACGUAGGGUCUUCCGAAUGUAAUACAUUUGUUUGCCUGUCCACGUAUAAUAUGCGUAUUACUACGAUUUUUGUUAUAAAAUGCAUUGUUACGGAAGGCUUGAUUGUAUGUCAAUGAGCCCGAGGGUGAUAUUGUGAAAAUUUUUCUGAACGUAAUUCAUUAAUGUAUUUACUUAUACUGAAUAAUCUUUACACAUGUUAUUAUUCGCUGCAUUGCAAUUCGAAUUAUAAAACUACCAAAAGUAGAUAAUAAUUUGAUUUAUCGAUUAAUGGUGAUGGCAUAGAUAUAUUGAACAUCAUGCUUUUGAAUCUAAUAUCAUAUUUUGCGGAAAAGAAACUUUCCCGCGUCUUCGAAAAUACUAUAUAAAUAAUGGGUUCGAAAAUGCUCAACAGCCAAUACUAGAAAAUUGAUAAAUGAAUUGUAAUUAUAGUGUAUUGACGGUGAAUGUGCAUGUAAUAUCGCAGAUCUCUGUUCGAGAAAUAAUUUGCGUAGGUGAAAUAUGACAAUUAAUUAUUACCGUCGAAUGAAUUUCUAGAUUUUAUAUUCAUGAAAACGAAUAAACUAAACUUAUGCUUGAGAUAAAGCAGCUUCGUCACGUACUUUACGAACGAUAAUGGGUUCCUCCGGUUGUAUUCGGAAACUGCAUUAACGACCAGUAGUUUUACCAUCCAGACUAUCUACUCUCUACGGUUUUAAGAUACAUCUAGCGAUUGUGCUUCGGAAAAUGACAGAAACCGAGAACGAAACGAAAGCCUCGCACUCGUCGAAAACCUUUCUACCCUAGCAUGAAUACACGAGUAUGUAACCGGUACUUCCGCUAUUAUUGUAUAUUGAAUAUAAAAAAUUCAGUACAAUAGAUAUAGUUCAAUAUAUCUAUGAUAAUAAGCAUAAAUAGAGACCAUAUAGGAUAAAAUGAGAAGGAAUAUUUGUCAUGCUUUUCACUUGGGGGUGUUUGAACGAUCAGCGAAGAGGGCAGCAUCUACUGGAGCAACUAAAAGCACCAUCUCACAAUUCUACACCACAACCACGAACGAAUCUUAUUGAUUUUCUACUCACAAUCAGUGCUUCCGAACUUCUUUCUGACAAUGAGUGGGAAAGUAUGAAAGCCCAGAUUCCUGCGGUGACCAUUUUUAAGAGAAAACGAAUCGUCAGCCUACAAGGCAUCUCGGCCCUACAUCAUAUGUCAUCAGCGUCAUCGUAUGUCCCGAGUAGACAAUAUAAUAUUAAUUAAUUGUAUUCUACUUAUUCUAACAGCGCGCAUUUUUGCGAUUAAUCAUAUUGAAAAUUUAAUGUGAUUUGACGUAGGAGUAUCACCCAUGAUAUUAGAACAGUGUAAUCAUGAGAAAAAAUUUAUAUGUAAUCUUGAAUUGACUUACCUAUGAUGUGCGUGACGGUAUCCUGAUAUGUAUUUUUGACGAAUCAAUCAUUAAUAAACAUGACUUACUAUCAAUACA
rnacentral:misc_RNA from 1 species